rnacentral:rRNA from 1 species
ACGGGAGGCAGCAGUAGGGAAUAUUGCACAAUGGGGGGAACCCUGAUGCAGCAACGCCUCGUGUGGGAAGAAGCAUUUCGGUGUGUAAACCACUGUCGUGAGGGAAUAAUGCUUGAUUUCGGUCAUGUUGAAUGUACCUCGAAAGGAAGCACCGGCAAACUUCUUGCCAUCAGCCGCGGUAAUACGAGGGGUGCAAGCGUUGUUCGGAAUCACUGGGCGUAAAGGGAGCGUAGGCGGAGACGCAAGCAGUCUGUACAAUACCGGGGCCCAACCCCGGACCUGCAGACUGGACUGUGUCUCUUGGAUAGUUCAGGGGCAGGCGGAAUUCCUGGUGUAGCGGUGGAAUGCGUAGAGAUCAGGAAGAACACCGAUGGCGAAGGCAGCCUGCUGGUGACUCAUCGACGCUGAGGCUCGAAAGAGCGGGUAGCAAACAGGAUUAGAUACCCUGGUA